GAUGAACGCUGGCGGCGUGCCUAAUACAUGCAAGUCGAGCGAACGGGCGAGAAGCUUGCUUCUCUGAUGUUAGCGGCGGACGGGUGAGUAACACGUGGAUAACCUACCUAUAAGACUGGGAUAACUUCGGGACACCGGCGCUAAUACCGGAUAAUAUUUUGAACCGCAUGGUUCAAAAGUGAAAGACGGUCUUGCUGUCACUUAUAGAUGGAUCCGCGCUGCAUUAGCUAGUUGGUAAGGUAACGGCUUACCAAGGCAACGAUGCAUAGCCGACCUGAGAGGGUGAUCGGCCACACGGGAGCUGAGACACGGUCCAGACUCCUACGGGAGGCAGCAGUAGGGAAUCUUCCGCAAUGGGCGAAAGCCUGACGGAGCAACGCCGCGUGAGUGAUGAAGGUCUUCGGAUCGUAAAACUCUGUUAUUAGGGAAGAACAGAUGUGUAAGUAACUGUGCACAUCUUGACGGUACCUAAUCAGAAAGCCACGGCUAACUACGUG
rnacentral:rRNA from 1 species